UACGUAGGGUGCAAGCGUUUAAUCGGAAUUACUGGGCGUAAAGCGUGCGCAGGCGGUUGUGCAAGACCGAUGUGAAAUCCCCGGGCUUAACCUGGGAAUGGCAUUGGUGACUGCACGGCUAGAGUGUGUCAGAGGGGGGUAGAAUUCCACGUGUAGCAGUGAAAUGCGUGGAGAUGUGGAGGAAUACCGAUGGCGAAGGCAGCCCCCUGGGAUAACACUGACGCUCAUGCACGAAAGCGUGGGAGCAAACAGG
rnacentral:rRNA from 1 species